UGGCAAAAGUCACCAUUCUGGAUCCUC
rnacentral:piRNA from 1 species